ACCUUGCACAAAAACAUGUGGGCAGAAUGGCCUUGGUGGGUAAUCAAGACUGGAUGUUAAGCCAGCGGGUUGCUGUUUUAUCUCUCCCGGCCUAUCUCCUACCCCACCCCCAACAACCUGCAUCACCCUGUUGGCAGGAGCUCAGAGCCACUGUCACCCUCUUGGAAACUAUUUAUGUAGCAAGAGGCAUAGACAUGCUCAUGUCCUGUGACCCAGUAAUUUUACUCUUGGAAGUUUAUUUACAGGCUGAGCUUGGUGGCUCACGCCUGUAAUCCCAACACUUUGGGAGGCCAAGGUGGCAGGAUCGCUUGAGGCAAGGAGUUCAAGACCAGACUGACCAACAUAACAAGACCUUGUCUCCAUUUACUUCUUUUUUUUUUAAUGAAGUUUAUUUUUAAACAGCAUGGGAGAAGCUUCAGAAUCAUGGUGCAUCCACAGAGUCAAAUAGCCUAUAGCCGAAAGCGUGAUUCUGAAGGCUCUAUAGAAAAAUGGGCAGGCCUUACCAUGAGGGGGAAAGGAGUGGUUUUGUGACUCAGGCAUCUGGAUAGGCUGGAUGCCUAAAGAACUAGAACUUGGGGUAAAAUGGAAGCACUUGUGUUGGUUGGGGCAGGGGGAAUGGGUUGGUUUGUUUUCCCCUAUGCUCCAUUGUCUUUUCAAUUAAACUGUAAAAAAAUGAAAAUAAAAGUAGGCUGCUCUAGCCUGAAGAGCACUUGAGCACUAUAGAGAGCAAUCGGCUGUGGAGUGGAUUGCGGGCCUCUAUGUACUGCAAUCAGUGGAGAGGAUUAGUUCCCCUCUCAUACGUUUCCGGAAGGUUCAGAACACUAGUGUGCAACAUAACACUCCAGUCAAGGCCACCAGUCAUGUUCUUCAUGUUCCCAGAGGUCCAUCCCACCAAAAAUGACUGGACAACACCUGGUUUUCUCCACACAGUCAGUGAAGCCACACCCCAUGGCUCUGCUAAACACCCUGGAGUGGUCCAUGCCUCUGCCUUCCUCUCACCUUAGUCACCUACUCCACCUGUGAGGCCCGGGGGCUACUGCCAGGAUGCAUGUUCUCCAGCCCUCCUCUGCCCUCCAUCUCGAGUCCAACCCUGGCCAUUUCCCUCUUGGUCCUGUCCCUUCCAUACCGAUAAGCAGAUGACACCACUGUCACUUCACAUCCUUCAGUGGUUUUCCAUCACCCUUAGAAUAGACGCCCACAUUCCUUAUUGUCAUGAUCUACACAUGCUACAGGCCUUGGGCCCUUCUUUCCUUUCUCAGCUUAACUUGAACCCUUGCCCUCAUUCUUGUGGGAGAACCUUCUCCCUCAUCCAGUUCUUGUGACAGUCGGACUUCUUCAGGCCUCUCCUGGCCACCCAUUAUACAGAGCCCAUGCCCUCCUGCUGUCACACUGCUUUCAGCCUUCCAUGUCAUGGCACACAUAGGAAACAGUGGCAUCCACAGGGUGCAAUGGGUAAUUUGGAGGCGAGACUAGGGGAAAGUGCAUGUGCUGUUUCUACCAUAGAAAUUAUAAGGAUGGUGGCUCACGCCUGUAACCUGUAAUCCCAGCACUUUGGGAGGCUGAGGCGGGCGGAUCACCUGAGUUCGGGAGUUUGAGACCAGCCUGACCAACAUGGGGAAACCCCAUCUCUACUAAAAAUACAAAAUGAGCUGGGCGUGGUGGCUAAUGCUUGUAAUCCCAGCUACCAGGAGGCUGAGGCAGGAGAAUUGCUUGAACCUGGGAGGCGGAGGUUGUGGUGAGCCGAGAUCACACCAUUGCACUCCAGCCUGGGCAACAAGAGCAAAACUCAGUCUUGAAAAAAAAAAAAAAGAAAUUAUAAGGAAAAUAAAA
rnacentral:lncRNA from 10 species